GAUGAACGCUAGCGGGAGGCCUAACACAUGCAAGCCGAGCGGUAUUUCUUCUUCGGGAGAGAGAGAGCGGCGUACGGGUGCGGAACACGUGUGCAACCUGCCUUUAUCUGGAGGAUAGCCUUUCGAAAGGAAGAUUAAUACUCAAUAAUAUAUUAAUUGGCAUCAAUUGAUAUUGAAAACUCCGGUGGAUAGAGAUCGGCACGCGCUAGAUUAGCUAGUUGGUGAGGUAACGGCUCACCAAGGCAAUGAGCUUUAGGGGGCCUGAGAGGGUGAUCCCCCACACUGGUACUGAGACACGGACCAGACUCCUACGGGAGGCAGCAGUGAGGAAUAUUGGUCAAUGGGUGCAAGCCUGAACCAGCCAUCCCGCGUGAAGGAUUAAGGUCCUAUGGAUUGUAAACUUCUUUUGUAUAGGGAUAAACCUACCCUCGUGAGGGUAGCUGAAGGUACUAUACGAAUAAGCACCGGCUAACUCCGUGCCAGCCGCCGCCGUAAGAC
rnacentral:rRNA from 1 species